rnacentral:lncRNA from 1 species
CACUGAUCAGGACUGCACGCAAAGAGCAGAGAGAGAGAGAGAGUAUCAAAACUAGCAAAAAAUGAUGCUAAAAAAAGCUGUCAUCCUUCUUUCUUUGAUCUGCAUUUCGAUUGCUGGUGUUUCUGGUCAAGCACCAGCAACGUCACCAACAGCAACACCAGCACCACCCACACCAACUUCUUCUCCACCGCCAGCAACCACUCCUCCACCAGUUUCAGCCCCACCUCCUGUUACCCAAUCUCCACCUCCAGCUACCCCUCCUCCAGUUUCAGCCCCACCACCUGCCACCCCUCCUCCCGCAACCCCACCACCAGCAACUCCUCCUCCCGCCACCCCACCACCAGCAACCCCACCACCUGCUACUCCUCCACCAGCAACCCCUCCUCCCGCUGUUCCUCCACCAGCUCCAUUGGCAGCUCCACCAGCUCUUGUUCCAGCUCCAGCUCCCAGCAAGCCUAAGUUGAAGUCUCCAGCUCCAUCUCCCCUGGCAUUGAGUCCUCCAUCUCCACCAACUGGCGCUCCUGCUCCAAGUUUGGGUGCUUCCUCUCCUGGACCCGCUGGAACCGAUAUGGUAAGUCCAUUAUUGAUCCCCAUCUAUAUUCUCAUAUGAUUAUAUUUUGCUAAGCAUUUAUGUGAUCUGGUAAUUUAGUUCAACGUACCCUUUAAAUUUAACAAAUAUGAUCAGUCAUUUGCUCUAUUAAAAAAAAAAAAGUUUUAUUCAUGCACAGUUAAUCUCUUUUUUUUUUUAAUAUCAGAUUUCUAAUGUUGCUAAUUUCUUUAUAUUCAAUGUAACUGCAUUGCUGAAUCUUUUGUUUGAAAACUUGCUAGAUGUCCUAGUACCAUAGCUGGUAGUAGUUAAUUUAGUUAGGAUCUGGCGCAAUGCAGACAAAAUACUGUGUAGUUUGCUAUUGUAAACCGGAGUGUUGUUAGUGCUGCAGGGAAUUGUUUGUUUUUAUAUUUUAAAAGUGCAAGAGAUUGAAAAUUUUUAUUUUUUUUUAAAUUAAUAAAUUUUUGAUAUUUUUAUACCAUAGCUAAUUUUAAAAAUAAUAUUUUAAAAAAAAAUUAAUAAAAAAUAUUUUAAAAAACAUCUACAACCAUUCUUACAAACGAAUAAUAAUUCCCGAUGCUGCUGCCUCUCUCGGGUCUAGGUCUUGGGCUCUGCUUGAUGUGGUUAUUACCCGGUGUGAAUAUAACUAGAUUCGGAUUAAGAAUUGUGCACCAACAAGCAGUAGCUGUUUACAGAUCUGAUUUCAAAUUCAAUGUUUGACCUGAUUUGAUUAAAAUGAAAUGAAUCCAUUAUAUUUUAAAUCAGGGAAAUACAAUAAUAAUAAUAAAAAAAAAAAAAAGUACUGUAUGUGCAAGACGCGGAAUCCCGAGGACUUCCUGUGCUGUCUUCGCAGGGAGGACCACCCCUCUUCUGCUCAAUUGCAGGGCUUAUAGAAAAAAUAAAAUAUAAGUGUUUUUGGGCUCAAAUAACUGUCCAAAAUCGCAAGUUGGGUUGCAUUCAAUGGGGUCCACCGAUUUAUAUUUGGGCCUUGGGCCUUAUCGGGUCCAGCUGCGGUCCAUUACCGUCCCAAUUAAUUGCUUGAUUAGUUUUGUAUACGCAAGCAAUUAUGGUGGUUUCCCAUGCUUAAUUGCAUAGCCUACCAGAGGUGGGUUUUUACUUCUUAGCGUGUAAAUGUUGUGUCUGUAAUGUUUUGACCUUUUUUCCCACAAAAACUGUGUUGUUGCAGAGUGGAGUAGAGAAGAUGGGGUCCGUGCAGAAGAUGGUCCUGAGCCUGGUCUUUGGAUCAGCAUUCUGGUUGCUAACUUAGACAUAUCAUCUUUGUGUCUCAGUUUUUAAUUUUAUUUUUAUUUUUUUUUAAUUUCUGCUGUUGUCUACAUAUAUUACUGGCUGCCAUUUUAGCCCCUGCGCGGUGAU